ACGCUCGACACCUACGGGGCAGCAGUGGGGAAUAUUGCACAAUGGGGGAAACCCUGAUGCAGCGACGCCGCGUGAGCGAAGAAGUAUUUCGGUAUGUAAAGCUCUAUCAGCAGGGAAGAAACUGACGGUACCUGACUAAGAAGCACCGGCUAAAUACGUGCCAGCGGCCGCGGUAAUCUGAGCGGGCUGGCGAAGGC
rnacentral:rRNA from 1 species